rnacentral:lncRNA from 10 species
GCGGUCGGUGCCGCUGACCGUAGCGCGCCCCCUGCGGGAUAUCGGGGAGAAUCGCUUAACACCGCCAGAGUGAACAGAGGGGUGUCAACCAGGAACCUUGUGAUGCGUGAGGAAAAAAUAUUACCUUUUCCCCCUACUCUUUCUGGCACCCAACAAACAAGUGGGGUGGCAAAGACACCCCACUUGGGACAACUGGCAAAAGGCUGGAGUGCAGUGGCAUGGUGGCAUGAUCUUGGCUCACUGCAACUGCUGCAUCCUGGGCUCAACUGAUUCUUCUGCCUCAGCCUCCUGAGUAGCUGGGACUACAGGCACA